AACGGCCGUACCAUGCUGAAUAGACCGGUUCUCGUUAGAUCACCGAAGUCAAGCAUCAUGGGCGCGGUCAGUACUUGGGUGGGUGGGUGACCACCUGGGAACACUGCGUGCCGUU
rnacentral:rRNA from 1 species